GACGAACGCCGGCGGCGUGCUUAACACAUGCAAGUCGAACGGUGAAGGGACCGGUUUUUGCUGGUUCUGGAUGAGUGGCGAACGGGUGAGUAACACGUGAGUAACCUGCCCCCUUCUUCUGGAUAACCGCAUGAAAGUGUGGCUAAUACGGGAUAUUCUGCGCCUGCUGCAUGGUGGGUGUGGGAAAGAUAUUGUUUCGGUGGGGGAUGGGCUCGCGGCCUAUCAGCUUGUUGGUGGGGUGAUGGCCUACCAAGGCGGUGACGGGUAGCCGGCCUGAGAGGGUGGACGGUCACACUGGGACUGAGACACGGCCCAGACUCCUACGGGAGGCAGCAGUGGGGAAUAGUGCACAAUGGGCGCAAGCCUGAUGCAGCGACGCCGCGUGAGGGAUGGAGGCCUUCGGGUUGUAAACCUCUUUCGCCAGUGAAGCAGGCCUGUCCCUUUUGUGGGUGGGUUGACGGUAGCUGGAUAAGAAGCGCCGGCUAACUACGUG
rnacentral:rRNA from 1 species